UGGGUUGUUUUGUAGUAGGGGAUACCUGAUCCACUAUCUAAGUUUUGCCAAAGCAGUAUACGUCUAAGUUUCCUAUCAAAAAAAAGUUCUAAAAUUGCUUCACAUCCUAUGCACACUAAACUGGAGCAUUGGUCUGUUGGAGAUAUCUUGAGCAUAGACUGUCACAUUUUCUUUUGGCAAAUAUUAUGCUAUAAUUCUUUAUAGUCUUAAAAAAAGAAAAAUGUAGCUGAUGUCUUGAGCAUAAAACAGUCACAUUUCAGUCUGUUAAGGUUGAAAUUUGAAAUUUGUUUGAAUUUUGAACUGAUGAAGAUGCACUUCUGCUCCUCCAGGUUUCAAACCAAUUAAAUUGGUUAUAUCUGAAAUUUCUUAAACAAAAUCCUGGUUAUGACGGAAAGGUUUCUAUAUAUGGUCAUUCCUUGGGAAGUGUCCUCUCGUAUGACAUCCUCUCCCAUCAAGAGAAUCUAUCAUCCCUAUUUGCAAUGGAUUGGAGGUACAAGGAACAACAAGAUACCAUUGAAGAAUCUUCCCAUGCCAUGAACAAUCAACCUUCUAAUGGUGACUCUUCAGCUGAUCUGAAGGGUAAAAGCUCCACUAAGACAAAUGAAUAUGAGGAUAAGGUGGGGUCUGCUGAUGAGGACAAGAUUUGAUGAGUGUACAAUCAACUCAUCUAGAGCACGAGGAAGCACCUGCUGAAGAUUUUUCUUCUCUUGUGGGUACUGUUGUGUCAGAUACUGCAACAGCUAUAGACUCUGAGCAAACAGCUAAAGAAGAUAUGGUCAUAAAUUGGUUCCCUGAAAGCCAAAAUAGCAGAGCUGGAAUCGUACAAUCAAGAAAAAUGCGUUACUUGCCACUGAGCCAAAGCAACCCAUUUCUGAGAAGCUUGAACCUAUGCUAGAUGAUGACCCAAAGAGUUAUACCCCUUAUAUUAAGUACACAAAGCUCGAAUUCAAGGUUAACACAUUCUUUGCUGUUGGAUCACCUCUUGGUGUCUUCCUUGCCCUCCGAAAUAUCCGUAUUGGAAUAGGUAAUCC